CUCAGGAAUUGCUCUUGAGAAAAUGUCAUGUAAUUGUCCCCUCCAAAGUUGAUAUCAGAUUUUCGCCCCUGGUCUGUGUGUGGUCUCGGAACAUACAUGGAUUUCCUCAGGGAUUUAUACACAAAGUUACAGUCCCCAUUGUUAACCGGAUGCUUUUAUUUUUCAUGUUGAGAGCUGGGUCUCCUAGCAACGUGGGAAACAUUGGACGCUAAGUCAGAGUCUGAAGGCUGUGGAGAGGCUAUGUGGACUUUCUGAGAUCAUCAUGCCGCUCUUUAACAGCCCAGAUCCCUGUGGUGAAAAGAAAAUAUCUGACAGGAACACGGGUCAUCGUGACGAUCAUGUUAUGCCGUUCACGGCCGACGUUUCCAACAUGGCCACUAGGGGCAGUCCACGAUUUGGAGCGUUGAGUCACCACUCUUUCUUCUCUAGACACAACCCUCACCCACACAGAGUCACACACAUCCAAGGUCUAAAUGGGAUUCCAGUAUGCAUGGUGAAUGACGACUGGUAUGUGACCACCUCACUAUUCCCCCAUCCGCUCAUCAAGAGUCAGGUAUUCAGGACAACUUCAGGAGCACCUUUCUCCCUGCCUGCAGGACACAGCGUGUUCGGGGGUAGAUAUAGCACCGGACACAGAACAGCUCUGUUAUCAGAAGCCUGGAAAGAGGAGUUGAAAGAUCUGUCUGCAAAAGUCAAUGAUUCUACUCAGGACAAAAAAGACACGAAAGAUAAUGAAGAGGAGGGUCUGGGACUGGUCCAGAGGAAGACCCAGUACUCGGCCAAGACAGGAAGGAUCAUCCCUCCUUCCUCUCAGGCUUAUCAGCGUAGCCACCAGCCUCAGACCCCCCGUCACCCCCCUGACCCAGGUCUACAUCUGCAGGAACUUAUGGUGCUGGAGCUGCUGUGUCAAAUCCUUCAGACUGACUCCUUAUCAUUGGUCCAGCAGUGGCUGCUGCUCGCGGGCCAGAGGGAGAAGAACCUGGUGAUGGGAUUGAUUCAACAGGCCAUGAAGGACAGUGUCUUCCCAAGGCAGCAGAGGUUGACUUUGUGCGAGGUACCCAGAAGCCAUCCACGCACCUCUCUGUCAGGCCGGGUACUUACUAGCUGUGGACAUACAAAACUAAGACUUCAUACCAGUUCAUCCCAAAUGCAUCUGCCAAUCAGCAAGGAGGACACACCAGAGAUGAUUGGAGAAGCAGAGGUCCUUGAGGUCCACCCAGAAAGCCCGAAACCGCCCGAAACUAAACAACAUAUUGCCCAGGAUGAUCAGAACGACCAGUGUGAUCAGAAUAAUUAGACUCCCUUAUAGUGUAAAAGGCUUCUGUUUUAAUCAUUUAAUGUAGUUAGUAGGAAGUGUCACGUCCUGACCAGUAUAAGGGGUUAUUUGUUAUUUUAGUUUGGUCAGGGCGUGGCAGGGGAGUGUUUGUUUAGAGUGUUCCUGGGUGUUUGGUCUAUGUUCUAUGUUAGUGUAUUUCUAUGUUCAGUC